CGGUAAUUCCAGCUCCAAUAGCGUAUACUAAAGUUGUUGCAGUUAAAAAGCUCGUAGUUGGAUUUCUGCGGGGACGGAGCGGCCGGUCGCAACUUGCGACUCGAGCUAGCGCUUUCCCCGCAUCCUGCCGCGAACCGUGCUACCAUUAGCUUGAUGGCGCUGGGGAUCGGCUCGAUUACUUUGAGAAAAAUAGAGUGUUCAAAGCAGGCCACACGCCUUGAAUAAGUUAGCAUGGAAUAAUGACUAAGGACUUCGGUUCUAUUUUGUUGGUGUUCGGGACUGAAGUAAUGAUUGAUAGGGACAGUUGGGGCGGUCUGUAUUCCAAAGCGAGAGGUGAAAUUCUUAGACCUUCGGAAGACAAACAGCUACGAAAGCGUUCCGCAAGGAUGUUCCCUUUGAUCAAGAACGAAAGUUGGGGGAUCGAAGACGAUCAGAUACCGUCGUAGUCUCAACUAUAAACUAUACCAGCUAGGGAUCGGUCAACGUUUAAUCAUUCGACUUGAUCGGCACCUUAUGAGAAAUCAAAGCAUCUGGGUUCCGGGGGGAGUAUGGUCGCAAGGCUGAAACUUAAAGGAAUUGACGGAAAAACACCACCAACCGUGGAGCCUGUGGCUUAAUUUGACUCAACACGGGAAAACUUACCAGAUCCAAACAUAGUAAGGAUUGACAGAUUGAUAGCUCUUUCUUGAUUCUGUAGAUGGUGGUGCAUGGCCGUUCUUAGUUGAUGGAGUGAUUUGUCUGGUUAAUUCCGUUAACGAACGAGACCCCAGCCUGCUAAAUAGCGCGGCUGAGCUUUGCUCGGUGCGAGCUUCUUAGAGAGACUAUGAUGCGCGAUAGCACAUGGAAGUUUGGGGCAAUAACAGGUCUGUGAUGCCCUUAGAUGUUCUGGGCCGCACACGGGCUACACUGGCGCCUGCAACGAGCAUAUCAGCUGGCCCGAGAGGGUCUUGGCUAAUCUUUUGAACCGGCGCCGUGCUUGGGAUUGACCAUUGCAAUUGUUGGUCAUGCAACGAGGAAUGCCUUGUAAACGCGAGUCAUCAGCUCGCAUUGAAUACGUCCCUGCCCUUUGUACACACCGCCCGUCGCUCCUACCGAUGAAUGUUCCGAUGAAAUUUUCGGAGAGCGCCAGAGAACGGGGCUCUGCCUUGCAGAUCUGGAGGCUCAAAGUCACUUAAAUCUGAACAUUUCGAGGAAAAAGAAGUCGUAACAAGGUAGCCG
rnacentral:rRNA from 1 species